CCCGUAGGGUGCGAGCGUUGUCCGGAAUUAUUGGGCGUAAAGAGCUCGUAGGCGGUGUGUCGCGUCGGCCGUGAAAACCUGCAGCUUAACUGUGGGCUUGCGGUCGAUACGGGCAUCACUGGAGUUCGGCAGGGGAGACUGGAAUUCCUGGUGUAGCGGUGAGAUGCGCAGAUAUCAGGAGGAACACCGGUGGCGAAGGCGGGUCUCUGGGCCGAUACUGACGCUGAGGAGCGAAAGCGUGGGGAGCGAACAGG
rnacentral:rRNA from 1 species